rnacentral:rRNA from 1 species
CAAAAAGAAAACAGGUCUGUCAUUCUUACAAGGAGAACGGGCUAGGGGAAAGAGGAAAGGAGUAAGAGAGAAGAGUGAGUCGUUAACGACAACGGCCCAUCGAGGGUAGUCGAGCGAGAGAACUAGGCGAUUGUAACUCCUACGAGCAGGAGUGGACUUCAGUGGGGGCGUCGACCACGACGGUGUCCCACUGGUAGCUGCCGCCACUAAACCAGUGCCUAAAGUAGAGGGCGUUCCGGCGUCGGAGAACCUAGGUCGAAGUCAUACUGAUACUCCUACGACCGCUCUGAAAGAAGGGGUUCGCGCGUUCGGUUUGCGUAGUAGCGAUAAAGGCGCGCUCCGUCGAGUUGUGUAGCAGGUGUAGGAGAUGUCGCGGUUGUAGGAAGCUUCAAACUUGACGUCUACCUCGACUACCGUAAUUCUGUCCUUGGGUGAUAGUUUAAACUCUCGGUCGACCUCCUUCUGUUACGGUUUGACGGUAACCAAACUCCUACAACUGAAGCUUCACAGCAAGCGGCUAGAUAUUAAAGCACGUCUACCAUGAAUAACCUCCACCAGACUAACGAGCUGUCUCGGCCGACCACAGGCGACCUCCUUCUAUCACGGCUUCACGGUAACCAACCUCCUACAACUGAAGCUUCACAGUAAGCGGCCUCCUUCUACUACAUGUUCCACAUUGGAUAUUAGAUCUCCUGUUAAUUGGGAACUCCGCCUUCACGAAACAAACACCUCUAGCUUAGAGACAUGCAAACACCCUCAAACUUCUCUACCGUAGAGGUAUUUUUUUUAACGCGGUCAAAAAAAUAAUACCCUACAAGACUACCGAGUACAAAAAAAACGCUUAUCGGAGUACCCUACCAACUUGGAUGACCCUAGUACUCAAAAACAACACCUUACUAGAUUAGCGAGUUGGAUAACCCAACAGUCUAACAUUAACACCCUAUAAAAAAAGAAUUUGUCUAGCACCCUACAAACAAAACCGACUAGCACCGUACUAAACUACAGUGUGGGACAAAAAAAACAUUGUACCGUAAACGUAAUUAUUUCGUACUUUUAAACC